UAUGCUUAACACAUGCAAGUCGAACGGCAGCAUAUACUAUCUUCGGGUAGUAUGAUGGCGAGUGGCGGACGGGUGAGUAACGCGUAGGAAUCUACCUAAAAGUGGGGGACAACCUGAGGAAACUUAGGCUAAUACCGCAUAAUCUCUACGGAGAAAAGCUGGGGACCAUUUAUGGCCUAGCGCUUUUAGAUGAGCCUGCGUAAGAUUAGCUAGUUGGUGGGGUAAAGGCCUACCAAGGCGACGACCUUUAGCUGGUUUGAGAGGAUGACCAGCCACACUGGGACUGAGACACGGCCCAGACUCCUACGGGAGGCAGCAGUGGGGAAUAUUGGACAAUGGGCGCAAGCCUGAUCCAGCAAUGCCGCGUGUGCGAUGAAGGUCUUCGGGUCGUAAAGCACUUUCAAUGGGGAGGAAAUCCACAGGGUUAAUAACUCUGUGGCUUGACGUUAUCCAUACAAGAAGCACCGGCUAACCCUGUGCCAGCAGCCGCGGUAAUACAGAGGGUGCAAGCGUUAAUCGGAGUUACUGGGCGUAAAGCGUACGUAGGCUGACAUAAAAGUCAGAUGUGAAAUCCCUGGGCUCAGCCUAGGAACUGCAUUUGAAACUAUAUGUCUAGAGUAUGGUAGAGGGAAGUGGAAUUUCCGGUGUAGCGGUGAAAUGCAUAGAUAUCGGAAGGAACAUCAGUGGCGAAGGCGACUUCCUGGACCAAUACUGACGCUGAGGUACGAAAGCAUGGGUAGCAAACAGGAUUAGAUACCCUGGUAGUCCAUGCCGUAAACGAUGAGAACUAGGUGUUGGGUAGUUUACUACUUAGUGCCGCAGCUAACGCAUUAAGUUCUCCGCCUGGGGAGUACGGCCGCAAGGCUAAAACUUAAAGGAAUUGACGGGGGCCCGCACAAGCGGUGGAGCAUGUGGUUUAAUUCGAUGCAACGCGAAAAACC
rnacentral:rRNA from 1 species